CAGAGUUGCAAAACUCCCUAAACCAUUGUGAACGUUACCUAUACCGUUGCUUCGGCGGGCGGCCCCGGGGUUUACCCCCCGGGCGCCCCUGGGCCCCACCGCGGGCGCCCGCCGGAGGUCACCAAACUCUUGAUAAUUUAUGGCCUCUCUGAGUCUUCUGUACUGAAUAAGUCA
rnacentral:misc_RNA from 1 species